rnacentral:rRNA from 1 species
ACAGACGAGGAGCUUGCUCCUCUGACGUUAGCGGCGGACGGGUGAGUAACACGUGGAUAACCUACCUAUAAGACUGGGAUAACUUCGGGAAACCGGAGCUAAUACCGGAUAAUAUAUUGAACCGCAUGGUUCAAUAGUGAAAGACGGUUUUGCUGUCACUUAUAGAUGGAUCCGCGCCGCAUUAGCUAGUUGGUAAGGUAACGGCUUACCAAGGCAACGAUGCGUAGCCGACCUGAGAGGGUGAUCGGCCACACUGGAACUGAGACACGGUCCAGACUCCUACGGGAGGCAGCAGUAGGGAAUCUUCCGCAAUGGGCGAAAGCCUGACGGAGCAACGCCGCGUGAGUGAUGAAGGUCUUCGGAUCGUAAAACUCUGUUAUUAGGGAAGAACAAGUGUGUAAGUAACUAUGCACGUCUUGACGGUACCUAAUCAGAAAGCCACGGCUAACUACGUGCCAGCAGCCGCGGUAAUACGUAGGUGGCAAGCGUUAUCCGGAAUUAUUGGGCGUAAAGCGCGCGUAGGCGGUUUUUUAAGUCUGAUGUGAAAGCCCACGGCUCAACCGUGGAGGGUCAUUGGAAACUGGAAAACUUGAGUGCAGAAGAGGAAAGUGGAAUUCCAUGUGUAGCGGUGAAAUGCGCAGAGAUAUGGAGGAACACCAGUGGCGAAGGCGACUUUCUGGUCUGUAACUGACGCUGAUGUGCGAAAGCGUGGGGAUCAAACAGGAUUAGAUACCCUGGUAGUCCACGCCGUAAACGAUGAGUGCUAAGUGUUAGGGGGUUUCCGCCCCUUAGUGCUGCAGCUAACGCAUUA